rnacentral:lncRNA from 1 species
CAGUUCGCUAAGUAGACUCACUCUACCGAGGGGCAACAAAGGCUGGAACUCUUCCUGCCAAAAACAAGGGACCUACUUCUCAUCCUAGGAGUUAGCAGGUAUGAAAGAGUCCCCUCUCUGUCUGUCUCUCCGAGUUUCUACUACUAAGUAGCACUUCUGCUAUUCAAUCAUAGAAUCGAUUCCGAUCAAGCUGAAAAAAGUCAGCCCUAUAUAUGUUAUUAGUAAAGCGCUAACGCCCUAUCUAUAGUAAGGGGGCCUUUCUUGCUCGUUAGCGCUGUUUUUUGAUUGCAGCUAGGGCGCCCCUUUUCUUUCUCAAAGUCAACUUUCUCGCUUGUUAGUCAAGCUUUGAAGUCCCUACUUUAUUUAGAUUUAUGGGAUAUUUGAAGAAGCGCAGGUUUUCCACCCUAUACCUAUACAAGGGGCUGGUCUCGAUCUCGCUUGGUGGUACCCCUCUCGAUGAUUGUUGACUCAACAUUGAUUUCGUGCUUGAGUUGGAGGGCUCUCCCUCCAUCCAUCGAGUCAAGUAAUUCGCUAUCGGAAAUUGAUCCGCCGCCUAUCUCAUGCCAUGCUUCUU